UAAUGCCCUUUGAAAUCCUAAA
rnacentral:miRNA from 1 species